UAACAUUUGGAAUGAGGGUGUGAGCAACUGCAAAUUCCCAUCUCCCUUCUCAUUCCAGCCUCAUUGUAACACACAUUCUACGCCUAGCCUGGCUUUCUUGCUCUCCCUCAUCUCAUUGUUUCAGCGGAGGCCAAAUCUGAAGUCCUUUCCAGGGAGUGGCUCUGUUCAUCUUAUUCGCCAGCCAAAGUAGGAACAGCGUAAGAGGAGAGAGACACAUUCAGCAGCCAAAGGACUCGGUGGAAAGAGCAGAACACCAUAGACAAUAUGUCGCUCUUGGGACCCAAGGUGCUGCUGUUUCUUGCUGCAUUCAUCAUCACCUCUGACUGGAUACCCCUGGGGGUCAAUAGUCAACGAGGAGACGAUGUGACUCAAGCGACUCCAGAAACAUUCACAGAAGAUCCUAAUCUGGUGAAUGAUCCCGCUACAGAUGAAACAGUUUUGGCUGUUUUGGCUGAUAUUGCACCUUCCACAGAUGACUUGGGUCCUAAGUGAGGCAGUGUGGCAGUUACAGAAGUAGUAACUUCUA
rnacentral:lncRNA from 1 species